rnacentral:tRNA from 1 species
CAGCGACUAGCUCAGUUGGUAAGAGCGCAAGAUCUGGAAUCUUGUUGUCGUGGGUUCGAAUCCCACGUCGCAUG